UUAUAGAUGUGAACUUUAGCUUUGACUGGAACUUCACCUCAGAUUGCCUCUAGGUGGUUUGGACAAAUUAACUUUCUCCUGUGCUGGCUGGUUUCUACAAAACCAGUGCUAUCUCACUGGAGCUGUGCUCUAUAACAUUACAGUGCCCUAAGGCAGGAUUAGGCCAUUUGUUUACAUAUAAACAUGUGGCACACUCCACCUGCACAGGUGUUUGUUUUUGCAUAGCUAGACGAUAACAGGGCUGUAAAUUUUAUUGCUAAAUAUUAUAAACAUAGAUCUGUGAUAUUUUUUUUCCCCAAGAAUUGGGUUUGAUUCUGAUCUCCCUUUUACAAAUUUUAGGUGGAUAUAGUGGCACCUUGUGACUUACACGUGCAUGAAAUUAGAGUAAAAUGCUUUGCUCUGCUCUUCAAUAGGACUGAUACUACUUGUGGAAUUCAAAAUUUGUCAUCACAGACAGCAGCUAUUGCUGCAUGGAUCCUUCUCCACAUUGUCUCAAAAUGCCCAGGGUUUUAUGAGGUUAGCAAGAUGAUGCACCCCUCAACAUUUCACUUCCACUCCCAGAUAACCUGCUCUAUUAAACUGAACUGUUUUGCUAGAAAAACUUUGUGCUUCCUCUGUGCUUCCUCAGCAGCAGUACCACAGGAUUUUCUGCAAAAAGCAAGUGAAACAAGAAGUCCCUCAGUAUCCGUGCCAGCAAAUACUGUGGUUAGCGUUAAACUGGACCCAUUUUGGUUUGCUGUCCAUGGUUAUUCUAGUGAAAAGUAAUUCUUGGCACAGUAUUAGUUCCAAUGGCAAACAUUUCAAACUUUUCACAGAAAACAAUUGCUAAUUAUUCCUGUAGAAAACAGCUUCACACUGAUAACUUGCAAAGAGAGGCUAAAUUCAUUACAUCAAUUAUUCAUGCUGAACAUAAAAGUGUUUAUAGAAACAGUUUUGCUCAGAACAAACUGAAGAUGUGUUCCCAUUGAUUCAACAGUUCAUCAAGGAACAAUUUUAACCUCUCGGUCUUUCCCAUACCCAUGCAAGUGGCAGCAAGGCCAGCCUCUACCAUCCACAGCAGGACUCAUGGUCAUAUUUUAUUAAUACAAACCCACAUAGAUACCUGAAACAUGGAGGGAUGAACAAAGAAAAUCUAUUAUUCAUGUUUCUAUGUGGAUAACAUACUUGCCUUUAGAAAGAACUGACAGGCUACAGAAUCCUCAGAUGCUGAUGUGCAGUGCUGUGUAGCUUUAUGCCAACAAGAGAUCAUCCUCCAACUCUACC